AGGUUCUUCUGUGAUAUGUUUUCAUGGUGUGGGAAUAAGACUUGGUGGUCUAAUACAGCUAAUACCAAGGUUAGCAUCACAGCUUGUCUGUAAAGAUAGAAGCUGGGAGUGGGCAUUGGAGCUUACUUUUAUGGUAACUGUGGCUGCAUAAAAGGGCUAUGUGAUUUUAAUGUAACAGUAAAGAAUGUAAUUCAGACUAUUUUUGUGUAUGUUUGAGAAAAUGUUUAUAAUUUUUACAAAAAGAAAAAAAAAAUUAUGUACAGUUUCUUCAUUUUCAACAAGAUUGGAAGUUGUAGGUUAAUAGGUCUUUGAAAUUUCAAAAAUAACUUUCUAUUUUCUGUUCAUACUCAUGUCUAGGCAAAACACUUCCAGUAGUUUAAGAAUGGAGAAUCUAAAAAAAAAUAAAAAGAAAAGAAAAAAAAAAAAAAAAAAAAA